AGCGAGCCCAGAACUUUCGCUGCUUCCUCUCCAUUUCCCACCUCGGUUUUCUCCUGGGCCCGGCUCAGGAGUCAAGCAGAUGGGUUUCGGCCUCAGGAAGCCCGGGGACCGCACACCAUGCAGGCCCUCUGAGCUCUGGAAGAAAGAGGCCCGGAAUUGAGUAGUGGAGCUGGGGUUCAGAUCAAUCCUCCCCACGCUCACCCCACGCUCACCCCACACGGGUUCUGAGCCCUCAAGCCCCAGCUCUGUACAUCAACCCAGGCUUUCUUCCAGAACUUGGGGCAGGUGCUCUCCAGUGAAACGGUUUCUCAAUGGGAGGUUUUGUAAGUUCGCUGAGUGCCUGUUUCCAACAAGACAGGACAAACUUUCUUGUACCCGGGGGCCGAUGAUGCCCGAGUGAAGUCAAGCCACCUUCCUUUUAAAAUCAUGAAAUGAAAGAAAAUAACGAAAGGCCCUGGAAACCCUGAAGCGUUAGAAGUGUGACCACUCAUUUUCAAACAAUUAUGUAAGGAGUGAUCAGCUUUCCACUGUUCACCUCUUCCCUUACACUGUACAAGAAAUGUCUUGACAGUAGGCGAGCGGGUACUCUGGUCCUUCACUUCUCUGUCGGUCGGAGCGCUAGGAGCUGUGCGCCCGGCCACCCCCAGGACUAGAGGGAGCGGACACCUUCCUUUGUGAGUUCCCUUGACUGGGAACUUUCUCGCGCGCGGUGGAUUCCCCUUUAAGAAAGUAGCGAUUGCUAUGAAUAUUUAAUGCGGAACUGAAGCCCGUCGGGCCGAGGGGGAGACCCGGCCCGCUCUCUGCGGCCGGGGCGCACAGCUAGCUCAUCCCCACCCGUCCCGCCAGGAGACGUGGCCUCCAGAGUUGCCCGACUCGGACCCGUUUCCAGUCUGGAGGGAGUGGACCGACCGUGUGCAGGGCCACACUGACUCAGACACCCACCUAAUCCAAGGAGCCUUCUCCAUUCGUGAGCCUUCCUCCUCUUACUACUCAGCAGGGAGGCUUGCUUCUCCAAGUCAGACUGCAACUCUCAACCUUACCAAGACAACCAAGAGCCCUUCUAUCUGCACACACAGUCACUUGGAGAAAAAAUCAAGUGUAUGUACCUCUCCCUGCAGACGGUGGGUCUGUAAGUGUGCCAAGUUCAAGCCAAUGAUGCGGGGUCCACCUUCUGCUGAGAGCCAGUCCUGGAAGGCAC